UCAAACGCGAUGACGAGAAGAGUAGGUCCAUUCAUUCCCUUACAGAGAGCUCCGGGUGGUGCGAAGGAGCAGGGAAGGCUGGACCGAAACAAGCCUCUGAGCGGUGCGCCGGAACCGGCUAUGGCCGGGGAUGGUACAACAGGAGCUCCUGUUACAGAGCUAGAGUAUAAGCCCUGCCUUGCCGGCAGCGCCGUACUUGAUGAGAUUAAUAUGGCGACAUAUUAAUAAACCUGGGGUGGUACCGCGAGAAUCUCGUCCCCAAG
rnacentral:ncRNA from 1 species